CUAGGUCAGUAGAGAAGUGCCUCCAAUUCUUAAAGGCCCUUAAGUAGAUCAAGGACUUUCAAUGGAUGGUAUAAUUCCAGUCCGUGUUUGAUUAGUUUUGAGAGUAUCUUAUCUCGGCCCUGCUCCUGAUCAGACCUUCCAUCAGGGAGAUGCUAUAUCUAUACCUCACUGUCUCCUCCAUAGCUAUGAGCUUAGUUCUCAUCUGAGAGGAGGGACUACAAAAGCCAAUCUACUACACA
rnacentral:lncRNA from 1 species